GUGGGGGAUAUUGCACAAUGGGGGAAACCCUGAUGCAGCGACGCCGCGUGGAGGAAGAAGGUUUUCGGAUUGUAAACUCCUGUCGUUAGGGACGAUAAUGACGGUACCUAACAAGAAAGCACCGGCUAACUACGUGCCAGCAGCCGCGGUAAAACGUAGGGUGCAAGCGUUGUCCGGAAUUACUGGGUGUAAAGGGAGCGCAGGCGGACCGGCAAGUUGGAAGUGAAAACUAUGGGCUCAACCCAUAAAUUGCUUUCAAAACUGCUGGCCUUGAGUAGUGCAGAGGUAGGUGGAAUUCCCGGUGUAGCGGUGGAAUGCGUAGAUAUCGGGAGGAACACCAGUGGCGAAGGCGACCUACUGGGCACCAACUGACGCUGAGGCUCGAAAGCAUGGGUAGCAAACAGGAUUAGAAACCCCAGUAGUCCU
rnacentral:rRNA from 1 species